UACAGAGACUGCAAGCUUUGCUCGGAAUCACUGGGCGUAUAGGGUGCGUAGGCGGGUUUUUAAGUCUGGGGUGAAAUCCUGGAGCUCAACUCCAGAACUGCCUUUGAUACUGAAGAUCUUGAGUCCGGGAGAGGUGAGUGGAACUGCGAGUGUAGAGGUGAAAUUCGUAGAUAUUGGGAAGAACACCAGUGGCGAAGGCGGCUAACUGGUCCGAUACUGACGCUGAGGUGCGAAAGCGUGGGGAGCAAACAGG
rnacentral:rRNA from 1 species